rnacentral:rRNA from 1 species
CCUACGGGUGGCAGCAGUGGGGAAUCAUGGACAAUGGGGGGAACCCUGAUCCAGCGACGCCGCGUGAGUGAAGAAGUAUCUCGGUAUGUAAAGCUCUAGCAGCAGGGAAGAAAGAAAUGACGGUACCUGACUAAGAAGCCCCGGCUAACUACGUGCCAGCAGCCGCGGUAAUACGUAGGGGGCAAGCGUUAUCCGGAUUUACUGGGUGUAAAGGGAGCGUAGACGGCUGAGCAAGUUUGAAGUGAAAGGCGGGGGCGCAACCCCCGGACUGCUUUGGAAACUGUAUAGCUAGAGUGAAGGAGAGGUAAGUGGAAUUCGCAGUGUAGCGGUGAAAUGCGUAGAUAUUAGGAGGAACACCAGUGGCGAAGGCGGCUUACUGGACUGUAACUGACGUUGAGGCACGAAAGCGAGGGGAGCAAACAGGAUUAGAUACCCCUGUAGUC